CUUAUCUGGGCAAAAAGUAUAUCUUUAAACUGUUCACUAAACAAACUAAUUUAAAGUAUUAAUAAUGGGACAUACCACAUGCUAAUGAAUAUAAGAACAUAAUAUAUAUAAGGUGAAAACUCCUAUUUUUAAACCAUUGAAACAACAUGAAUAUGGAAAUGAACUAUUCACAGUUAGCCAAACACAGUGCUUUUACAUCUUUUUUUUUAAAUUAUUAUACUUGAAGUUCUAGGGUACAAGUGCACAACGUGCAGGUUUGAUACAUAGGUAUACAUGAGCCAUGUUGGUUUGCUGCACCCAUCAACUCGUCAUUUACAUCAGGUAUUUCUCCUAAUGUUAUUCCUCCCCCAGCUUCCCACUCCCUGACAGGUCCCGGUGUGUGAUGUUCCCCGCCCCGUGUCCAAGUGUUCUCAUUGUUCAAUUCCCACCUAUGAGUGAGAACAUGCGGUGUUUGGUUUUCUGUCUUUGUGAUAGUUUGCUAAGAAUGAUGGUUUCCAGCUUCAUUCAUGUCCCUGCAGAGGACAUGAACUCAUCUUUUUUAUGGCUGCAUAGUAUUCCAGUGCUUUUACAUCUUAGCUUGGACCUAUACAAAAACUUUCAAAAGCUCCUUCAACUUUCAAAACGCCAUUAAGGGAUGUGAGGGCAAUCUGGCUGUGACAUCUGUCACCUCAUUGAUUGGCAGGGUUGAUUCAGCUGAUCUGGCUAGCUAGGUGGGUGUCCCCUUUCUACCUCACUGCUCCAGGUGCAUCCUAACCAAAGCCCUGGGAUUGAUCAGAUCCUUCCUCCAUAGAAGAGGACUGUUCUUCUGUCAAGGGUGUACAAGUAGCUGUACUCCCUUGCUAGAACCUCCAAACAAGCUCUUAAAACAUCAUUAAGCUUAAGAAUA
rnacentral:lncRNA from 10 species